UCUAUACAUACUGUAUGUUA
rnacentral:snRNA from 1 species